GGGCUUGACAUCCCACGAACCUGUCUGAAAGGGCGGAGUGCCCGCAAGGGAGCGUGGAGACAGGUGGUGCAUGGCUGUCGUCAGCUCGUGUCGUGAGAUGUUGGGUUAAGUCCCGCAACGAGCGCAACCCUCACCCCUAGUUGCCACCGGGUAAUGCCGAGCACUCGAGGGGAACUGCCAGCGUCAAGCUGGAGGAAGGCGGGGAUGACGUCAAGUCAUCAUGCCCCUUACGCCCUGGGCUACACACGUGCUACAAUGGCCAGUACAAAGGGAUGCGAGACCGCAAGGUGGAGCUAAUCCCAAAAAGCUGGUCUAAGUUCAGAUUGCAGUCUGCAACUCGACUGCAUGAGGGAGGAAUCGCUAGUAAUCGCGCAUCAGCACGGCGCGGUGAAUACGUUCCCGGGCCUUGUACACACCGCCCGUCACACCACGAAAGUUGGCUGUACUCGAAGUCGCUGAGA
rnacentral:rRNA from 1 species